UAAUACGGAGGGAGCGAGCGUUGUUCGGAAUUACUGGGCGUAAAGGGCGCGUAGGCGGCCUUGUAAGUCGAGUGUGAAAGGCCGGGGCUCAACCCUGUGCACUGCACUCGAUACUGCUUGGCUAGAGAAAGGUAGAGGCGAGCGGAAUUCCCGGUGUAGCGGUGGAAUGCGUAGAUAUCGGGAAGAACACCUGCGGCGAAGGCGGCUCGCUGGGCCUUUUCUGACGCUGAAGCGCGAAAGCGUGGGGAGCAAACAGGAUUAGAUACCCUGGUAGUCCACGCCGUAAACGCUGGGCACUAGGUGUCGGGAGGCUUGGCCCUUUCGGUGCCGCAGCUAACGCAUUAAGUGCCCCGCCUGGGGAUUACGGCCGCAAGGCUG
rnacentral:rRNA from 1 species